GGGCGGCAUGGAAUCUGGACGAGAGAGAGAGAGAGAGAGUUCAGCUUUUUAAAGACAUCGGAUGCUCGUUUGGAAGACGGGUUGAUGGUUUUGACCCGAUUACGACAAAGUGCAAAGAUGAAACGGUAUGUGUGUUGUACCUGGAUAGCUGCCGCCUUCCAGGUUAUCGUAGCUGUUGGGCACCGGAGAGGCACUGCCAGUACUGGAAGAGGAAGUGUCACCACCUGAGAGAGAAAGAGUGACACAGAGAGAAGAAUUCAAUCAAUGUGAGCUGAACAAGGACAGAACAAAAAGGACUAAAGAAGCAAAACAAAAACAAAGACUUGAGAAAAUGAAGGUCAACAACUGUGAGUCAAUAAAAAACGAAAGGCCGGAGGGUCAAAAAGAGGAUAAUAAUGAAACAAGGGGAGAAAAAAAAAAAAAAAAAAAGG